GCUUGUCUCAAAGAUUAAGCCAUGCAUGUCUUAGUGUAAAUAACUCUUAUGAAACUGCGAAUGGCUCAUUAAAUCAGUUAUCAAAUACGUGAUGGUCGCCUACUACAUGGAUAACCGUAGUAAUUCUAGAGCUAAUACAUGCACAAAGGCCCACUCACGUGGGUUGUGAUUAUUAGAUUCAAACCGGCCUCGUUCUGGUGAUUCAUAAUAACUCCUCGAAUCGCAUGGCCUUGCGCCGGCGAUGUUUCAUUCAAAUUUCUGCCCUAUCAAUUUGAUGGUAGGAUAGAGGCCUACCAUGGUGGUAACGGGUGACGGAGAAUUAGGGUUCGAUUCCGGAGAGGGAGCCUGAGAAACGGCUACCACAUCCAAGGAAGGCAGCAGG
rnacentral:rRNA from 1 species